UGAUGUGAGGGUCAUCUGGCUUCAUUUGUCACCCUAUUGAUUAUCAGGGUUGAUUUGACUGAUCUGGUUUAGCUAGAUGGGGGUUCUUGUCCUCCCUUACCACUCCAGUUGUGUCUCUCUCAUAGCUGCGUGCUGGGUCGAAGAGGACAACCUUUCCCAAUAGAGGAAGACAGUUUUUGGGUCAAAGGUAUAGGAAUAGUUCUGCUCCCUUGCUAGAAACUCCAAAUAAGUUCACAAGGUCCAUUUGUAGAGGAACAUAGGGUAGUCAAGCUUCCAAGACUCCAGAUACAUCCAAAUGAGGCGCUGCAUAUAGCAGUCUGCAUUUCUUU
ensembl:misc_RNA 7SK 7SK RNA